rnacentral:rRNA from 1 species
GACGAACGCUGGCGGCGUGCUUAACACAUGCAAGUCGAACGAAGUGGCGCACGGGUGAGUAACGCGUAAUCAACCUGCCCUUCAGAGGGGGACAACAGUUGGAAACGACUGCUACUACCGCAUACUGAAGGAGGGGAUUGCGUCUGAUUAGCUAGUUGGCGGGGUAACGGCCCACCAAGGCGAUGAUCAGAAGCCGGUCUGAGAGGAUGAACGGCCACAUUGGGACGGAGACACGGCCCAGACUCCUACGGGAGGCAGCAGUGGGGAAUCUUCCGCAAUGGACGAAAGUCUGACGGAGCAACGCCGCGUGAGUGAUGAAGGUCUUCGGAUCGUAAAACUCUGUUAUUAGGGAAGCGGUACCUAAUCAGAAAGCCACGGCUAACUACGUGCCAGCCGCCGCGGUAAUAC